GCUUCACUGGAACGUCUUGUAUGCUGCGGAUGCCUUUUGGGCUUUUAAAUUUGGAAGCAGGAUUAGUAUGACGCACUACUGGCAUAAAGAGACACACCCACUUUAUUUUGUAGGACAGGACACACACACACACAGGAAGAGGAAAGCAGUGUGUGACUCUGUGACUGUCAGGACACAGCGAGAGGCAGGAGGCACCACUCGUGAGAGGAUGUUGUGAGACGACCGAGGGGACACGGUCCUCUGGUGAAACACAUGCUGUCAUUGUGGCCUAAUUCUAAAGGGAAGGAAAGUUCUGUUUGCAAAUGUCAGAAGGGAAACUGUGAGGAGAGGACAAGAAGAGACACACCUACACACACAUUAACUUCCACGAGUGGCAACAUGCUGCUAUUUUUACCCCAACCUCAAAUUGGCCUGUUAAGAAGUUUAUCCGUGUCCAGGGAGGCCGGCCGCUCGAUGGAGCUGCGAUGUGUUCCCGGAAAUAAUCCCCAAAUAAAGCCAGAUGUUUGGAAUUCUCCAGAAAGCUUUUUGUUUUGUCUCCUCUCAUUUCCAGGAUGGAAACUAGAGUGAGGAGAAACACGUCAGCCUCGGUUCUGUUUCAGAAAGACAGGAAGUUUUGAGGCGUAUCCAAUGAUGUGGGCUUCAUUUCCUCUAAGUAGUGAUGUGGACACUGCAGGAUUAUAUCAGAGGAUUGUUUCUGGAUGUUUUAUAUGAUUCCAAUGUGCAGCUUUAAGAUGCAUCUGCACCUUCGAUCUUUAAUGAUUCUUCUGUAACAUCAGCUGUCUGACUCCUCUGUACGCAUGAAGCACCUAAACAGCGCGAGGGUCCGGUGCCUUGCCCCUCUGAUGACCUGACUUGAGUCCCAGCUUCCACGUUGUGAGACGUCGUUUGUGCUGCAGGCUUAUUUCCCUCAGUUCAAUGAUUCAGUAUCACUGCUGUGUCACUUUAUGCUCUCGCAGCUGACGUCCACACAAAGUAAUGGAAGUGAAAGCCUCCGGGAAUAAAUGCUUAGCAGACUUACUGUCUUAUUGUCACAUUCAUGUCAUCUGUGCUCUCAUUGUUUCCCACGGAAGCAGUUCAUUAAAAGCUACAGUAGCUUUGAAAACAUGCCAUGAAAUAUGUCAACAAAGUCCAUAGUAAACUGUGAAAUACACUGCUGUGUGUGUGUGUGUGUGUGUGUGUGUGUGUGUGUGUGUGUGUGUGUGUGUGUGUGUGUGUGUGUGUGUGUGUGUGUGUGUGUGGCACUGUGAGACAUAGCUACAUCGCUGACUUUAAGUAUCGCUACGCUCCUUUGUGGAGAUUGAUGCUCUCCGCUGCUGCCAUCAGCAAUGCUUGCAUUAGCAUAACUCUGCACUCUCCCGCUCAUGCCUGCCUCCCUCCGGGUUUUUACUCUGCAAUACCUCCGCCUGAACCGCACCACUGACGCACAUUAACACACCCAGCAACCCGAGGCUACAGCAUGAGAUGCUUUAUGGAAAUGUCACUGAUGAGAGAAACAGCGGUGGUCUGUCUCAGAGCAGGACAUUUAUCUAUAAAUCCAGACGCUGGUUAACAGUAAUAAAGGGCCUAUAGCCAAACGCUGUGUGGGAUAACAAACUGUGUUCAGGAUAAAUCCUUCCCAGAGACGUUACGUACGCUGGAAGUCUUGAUCGUCAUGAUGCGAUUUAGUCUCAGAGGUCUGAUGCUUCUUGGUUCGAGGGUUUGAUGCUGUGAUACGGACUUCUUUAGGCCACGGUGAGUGAAAUGUGACACCUGAAACAGUUUGGGGUUCAGAGGGUUCAUACUGUGCUCAUGUUGAACAACACAUACUGGGCUGAAUAAAGAUGGCAGCACUGUCAGUUACUGUAUAGGGAAGCUAUUGUAAGGAGGAGGCUGCAUCGCUCCUGAGGGAUCUCAUCAUUUAGUGAAAGAGCUCAUUGAUUCAAAGAGCAGAACGGGCGUUUGUGUAAGACGGAUAACAAUUUGAGUGUAUGCACACACACACACACACACACACACACACACAACUAACUGGAGCAUGCACACAUUGCAGACACCUGCUUUCCCAGUGAUGAAUGGUUGAUGGGUUUGUACUUCCCCUCUCAAAUCCUCUUAAAUGAAAGAAACAAAUCAUCCCGACUACAUUGUAUUAGUUCUGAAGGGGACGGCUGCAGGGGGGGAUUAUUGGUUUAAUCGAUAACGAGAGUUCAGCGACUGCUCUGUGAUUCCCCGUCUGAACAAACGCCACACUUGAGUCUAUGAACAAGCUGCUCUACGUUUCCCAGAAUGGCUCCUUAUAAAACAUAAGAUGUUUCAGGGGGAGGCUUCUCAACGGGAAGCGAGGAUCAGUAUCAGGUCGGCGGCCCUGAGGUGCCGGAUGUGCCUGCUGGAGGAGCGAUCCGCUGGGAACCGUGAAGGCAGAGGGUGAUGGAUAGUUUUUAAUACUGCAAGGACAACCUAGUUUCCUCUAUUACAGGAACAAUUUCAAGGGUUUCAUUCCACUGCACUCCGGUGACUCCUCUUAUAGGAAAUUAAUGUUGAGUGAUAUUUAUUGCAAACAAAGACG
ensembl:lncRNA